rnacentral:rRNA from 1 species
CCCUUAGAUGUUCUGGGCCGCACGCGCGCUACACUGAUGCAUUCAACGAGUUUCUUCCUGGUCCGAGAGGAAUGGGUAACCUUUUGAAAGUGCAUCGUGAUAGGGAUAGACUAUUGCAAUUAUUGGUCUUCAACGAGGAAUUCCUAGUAGACGUAGUUCAUCAGACUGCAUCGAUUACGUCCCUGCCCUUUGUACACACCGCCCGUCGCUCCUACCGAUUGAAUGCUCAGGUGAGCCAUUCGGACUUUCAUCAUGCUGGUUUCCAGUUUUGAUGAAGGAAAGUCUUGCGAACCUUAUCCUUUAGAGGAAGGAGAAGUCGUAACA